CUACGGGGGGUGCAAGCGUUAAUCGGAAUUACUGGGCGUAAAGCGCGCGUAGGCGGUUUGCUCAGUCGGAUGUGAAAGCCCAGGGCUCAACCUUGGAACUGCAUACGAUACUGGCAAACUAGAGUGUGAGAGAGGAUAGUGGAAUUUCCGGUGUAGCGGUGAAAUGCGUAGAUAUCGGAAGGAACAUCAGUGGCGAAGGCGACUGUCUGGCUCAACACUGACGCUGAGGUGCGAAAGCGUGGGUAGCAAACAGGAUUAGAUACCCUUGUAGUCC
rnacentral:rRNA from 1 species